rnacentral:rRNA from 1 species
AAAUGUGUAAGUAACUAUGCACGUCUUGACGGUACCUAAUCAGAAAGCCACGGCUAACUACGUGCCAGCAGCCGCGGUAAUACGUAGGUGGCAAGCGUUAUCCGGAAUUAUUGGGCGUAAAGCGCGCGUAGGCGGUUUUUUAAGUCUGAUGUGAAAGCCCACGGCUCAACCGUGGAGGGUCAUUGGAAACUGGAAAACUUGAGUGCAGAAGAGGAAAGUGGAAUUCCAUGUGUAGCGGUGAAAUGCGCAGAGAUAUGGAGGAACACCAGUGGCGAAGGCGACUUUCUGGUCUGUAACUGACGCUGAUGUGCGAAAGCGUGGGGAUCAAACAGGAUUAGAUACCCUGGUAGUCCACGCCGUAAACGAUGAGUGCUAAGUGUUA